UACAGCCAUAUCAUGUUGAAACACCAAUUCUUGUACAAUCACCGAUGUUAAGCAACAUCAAGCCUGGUCAGUACCUAGAUGGGUGAUCACUUGAGAAUACCAGGUGCU